rnacentral:rRNA from 1 species
UACGUAGGGCGCAAGCGUUAUCCGGAAUUAUUGGGCGUAAAGCGCGCGCAGGUGGUUCCUUAAGUCUGAUGUGAAAGCCCACGGCUCAACCGUGGAGGGUCAUUGGAAACUGGGGGACUUGAGUGCAGAAGAGGAAAGUGGAAUUCCAAGUGUAGCGGUGAAAUGCGUAGAGAUUUGGAGGAACACCAGUGGCGAAGGCGACUUUCUGGUCUGUAACUGACACUGAGGCGCGAAAGCGUGGGGAGCAAACAGG